UAAAUGCUGCUUGCAAUUAGACCAGAGAAGACAAGAGAACCUGCAGGAUUUGCUAGUGUGAGGAAAUUGUACAAGGCCCCAAAUUUUUUCAAGCCAAACAACUCUGAUGCAGCAGCUGGCACAAUUGCCCAAUGAGCUCCAUAGCCUAAGCCAAUCAGUAAAGUACCAAUGUACAUUGCCCCAGGCCACCCAAAAGCAAAGAAUACAUGCCCA
rnacentral:misc_RNA from 1 species